rnacentral:rRNA from 1 species
CCUACGGGUGGCAGCAGUAGGGAAUAUUGCUCAAUGGGGGAAACCCUGAAGCAGCAACGCCGCGUGAGGGAAGAAGGUUUUCGGAGUGUAAACCCCUUUUGUUAGAGAAGAAAAUGACGGUAUCUAACCAAUAAGCACCGGCUAACGCCAUGCCAGCAGCCGCGGUAAUACGGAGGGUGCAGGCGUUAAUCGGAUUCACUGGGCGUAAAGGGGGCGUAGGCGGGAUAGCAAGUCCGCUGUGAAAUCCUCGGGCUUAACCCUAGAACUGCAUUUGAAACUGUUAUUCUAGAGUACGGGAGAGGUAGGUGGAAUUCUUGGUGUAGCGGUGAAAUGCGUAGAUAUCAAGAGGAACACUGGUUGCGAAGGCGGCCUGCUGGAACGUAACUGACGCUGAUGCGCGAAAGCGUGGGGAGCAAACAGGAUUAGAUACCCUUGUAGUC